ACCAUUGGUCACUGAGUACUGUUACUGCUACAGCUGCUACUUCUUCCCCUUCCCCCAGUCUUUUAUUUCUUCCUCCUGGCAUGGGCUUCAGUGGGCAUGCAUAGUACCAUAUAUUCAAUGACUUACGAGUUUUAAUUUCCUGUGGGAAACAUUUCUUAUGGCCUGCAGGGUGGGAAUCCAAAUCCAGGCUGAUAGUAUCUGUGGAUCUCCUGUACCCAACAGACUGUCACUGGAGAGCACCAGAAACCCCUUGUGGAGAAGGGGACCCAAAGGAUGGCAGCAGCAUGGAGGACUGGAUCAUCCUAUGGAUUUGCCACAGGCUGGCAGAUUUCCAACUCCCCUGUGAACUUUUUGACAUGUUUUUGUAGGCACAUGCUAUGAACAAAAUGCAUGUGUGGAAAACUCAGUUGGAGUAGCCACAUGAUCUCUCCCAAACCCUCUCAUUUUAAACUAGAAAACCCCCUCCACCUAGGUUGUAUCUUUCUUUUUAAUAUUAUUUCUAGAGGCUGGGAAAACCAGUAUCAAUUAUGUGCACAACACACUGACUUGAACCAUUUCCACAGGAGUAGCAGAAGGAAAUAUGGUCUGCUGGAGCACUGAAGUAAAUCUGUAAACCCACAAACAUGCUCACCUGUUGCUAAAUAGGUAGACCUUUGUAUCAAAAACUAGACCCCAUAAAUCAAAUAAAGUUGCUGUCCCCUCCUUGAGGCAGGGCUCUCUCCCUGCCUGUAGUGGUUCUGCAUGGACUGAUCCAAAUGGCUGAGCUGUACAGCCUUCACGCAGUUGUCUGAGCUGUACAGCCUUCAUGCAGUUGUCUGAUACAUGUCUACAGCGCUGGUACCAGAGUGCAGCACAAAAUGGAGGAGGGAGAGAAGACAUUCCAAUUUCUGUUACCGGCCAAAAAAUGGCAUAGAGUAACAGUAAGUUCUGAUUUUGGUUAAGCUGGAUUGACUUUGGCUUCCUGCUUGCCUAAGAACUUGAGUGGGGAAAACUAUGAAGUUGUGUACACAGGACACAAAGCUGUAAUGGCAGGGAUAAAGGACUGGAAGAGACUGCUGAAUUGUCAAACCAUAUCCCAUGCUACUGCAGCCACUGUACAAUGGAUGUUUUAGUUCUGCGAGUCCCACAAAACAUCCAGGCUUCUUCUUCCCAAUGUACAAACCUCAUCCUGCAACAAACUGAAGACCUGAGCCCAGAUGGCCAAGAGGCACCAAAGCACAGCAGGUGGCAGGAGGAGAGCAAGGGCGCUUUCAGGUUCUCUGCAAGAUGUUAUGUGAAGUUUUCCAGCUGCCACAGCAAAGUAAGCCAUAUCUGCAGGGCCAGAGCUGCUCUAGCCUGCUGUCCCAGUGCAUGCGAACACAACAUCCCAACCCCAGGUUUCCCACAGCACACCAGGAACUCCAGUGUAGCCCACCAAACACUACUUCUCUAGCCCACUUCUGAGAUCACAGACUUACCGCAUCCUCCCAAGACCCUACCAUUUCCUUCAUUUCUAGCUUGUGCUGCAGCUCCUGGCUCCCAAGCCAGCUAGGAUGAAGCAAGCUCCACUUGCUGCAACUUUGAGUUACAAACACUUGAUCUGAUGACUCUAAACCCAACUGCCGGGGAAAGGCUAGACUGAUGGAUAGGAUUUAUUUUGUAUGGAGAGAAGACCAUAUGUGAGCCUUUGUCUGCCAUGAGCUAGUCUAUCUGCAUUUACUUAUUUCUGACUAUGCCCAGCUUGUUGUCUGUGAUAGGUCACCUAAGGACUAGUCUAUAGGAGAAAAUGGUAUUAAUUUAGUAGAAUCAGAUCUGAUUUAGUUAAACUAGUGCAAUCCAUUUUAUAGAUGCUUCUGUUUUUGACUCAUGUAACAUAUAUUGAUUUAGCUUAAGCUAGUUAUCUGGAAAUUGGUGCCAUUCUCUCAUGCUGACUAGGUCUGUCACAUGAUUUCUCUUCUUGUACCAGAUGGUGGACUGAUUUGAUUAGAUCCUGUAAAACCUAUGUUUAGCUUUAUAUGCACAUCUGGUCUUGUAGCUUCUCUGUGCCUACAGUUACAUCCAAUUAUUCACAUACUAAUAGCUUAUUGUACAGUUCGAAGUCUGAAUUGUUUAUUUUAGGAAUCACUUUAUUUUUUAGCAUGUCCCUGUGUGGAUUUAUUACUGCCCAGAGAUUGCUUAUUCUGGGAAGGGAAAUCUUUCCUCCAAAACACUGCAUGCGAAAUAAAAUUUCUGUGCAAAACUCUCUCCCUCACACCUCAUUCAUCCCCCAUUAGAGAAAUUUCACUGGAAUGAAAUGCUGAGGCCACUGAAAACAAUUUUUUUUUCCUGUUUAACAUGGCCAGCUAAUGUGCAUGUUGAUACGGCCUGAUGUUGUACUGUGAAUAGCUGUCUGUAGGAAGCAAAUUGCCACACCAGCCAUAGAGAUCACCACCAGCUUGUGGAGGCAUCUCUUGUGCAAGGUGCAGAAAUCUGUGGGUCUGGUCCAGCAAAGCACUUUUGUAUGUGUUAGUUUGAAGCAUGUGAAGAGUCUCCCUGAGUUCACCAAAUGUUUAAGUGCUUUGCUGGACUGAAGCCAGAAUGGUCAACAAUUUUCAAGACAAUACCUUUAGGAUAAGCUUUCUGUUUCUCCUAAAAUAAACAUACGCACAAAUAUAUCUACGCCACCGUUUUUUUAGUUUUGGAGAAAUGAUAAUUGGUAUCAACCAUGGUACCCUUCAUGAAACGACUUAGAUAUUAACAUUGGUAGAGAACUGGCAGCUUGUCUCUCUUCUUAACAACAGCAACAACAAAAACAACAAGAGGGCUUUGAUGAACAGGCUCGCAUUAACUGACUGUUUUGGGGAUGAGUUGUAAGAGAUUUGGAAUUGGCUUGAAUCCUAAAAUGAUGCUGAAUCCCAAAGCAAGGUUGCCAGGUGGCACAGACACAGGGAAACAUCUCGCUGUGGUAUGUCAGUGUUUAGUAGCCAACUGCCCGCACUCCCUGCCCUGGCAGUAGUGCCUGCAGCUCCUUGCUUUAUUCUGCUGAGAGUGCAAAUAUUGCAAAAAGACCAGCUUAAGUCAAUGGGAGCUUUUCCCACUAACCUCAAAGGUCACAUAAACAGGUACAUGAGUAAAAGCAACACAGAGCCCAUUUCCAUUACAGCCUGUUGUUCUGGCAGACCCAAUUCUCCACUAGCACCAAAAAAUAUAUAAACCACCAGACUGUCACGUUUGACUUAUUCUGUGUACCCCUUAGCAGAUAUCGGUUGUUUAUUUUCAUUCCAUGAAACUUAUCUAGAUAAGCCCACAAUUUUCCAGGCCUCCCUUCCUUUAUCCCAAACAUCCCCACCCAUUCUUAGGUCAGGUGUUACAACCUUUCGUGGCCUAGAAUAUCAUAAUCUUUAUUUUAAGUAUAGCUUCAUUUGUUUUGCUUUCCAUCUACCUUUCCUGUUUAAAUGAAAACUAAAAAGUCUAUCCCUCCGCACUUUGUUCUUGGGGCAUUUCCUGCUGGUACCCUUUUGGUGAGCAUUAUAUUUUUAUCUUUCCUAUGCCACAGUUGCAAUGGUGAACCUCUGCAAUGAGAACUGUGUUUGCGGACUCUAGUUCUGGUGUAAGAUGCCGUUUGCUUAAAUUACUAGGCAACUCUCAAGAGUUCAGCACUCGAUUUCUGAAAGCGUUAGCGAUUGUGUUAGAUUGUGCUAGCCAUGUUACUGCUUUGGUGAAGGUG